UGGGGAAUAUUGCACAAUGGGCGCAAGCCUGAUGCAGCCAUGCCGCGUGUGUGAAGAAGGCCUUCGGGUUGUAAAGCACUUUCAGCGGGGAGGAAGGCGAUAAGGUUAAUAACCUUGUCGAUUGACGUUACCCGCAGAAGAAGCACCGGCUAACUCCGUGCCAGCAGCCGCGGUAAUACGGAGGGUGCAAGCGUUAAUCGGAAUUACUGGGCGUAAAGCGCACGCAGGCGGUCUGUCAAGUCGGAUGUGAAAUCCCCGGGCUUAACCUGGGAACUGCAUUCGAAACUGGCAGGCUAGAGUCUUGUAGAGGGGGGUAGAAUUCCAGGUGUAGCGGUGAAAUGCGUAGAGAUCUGGAGGAGUACCGGUGGCGAGGGCGGCCCCCUGGACAAAGACUGACACUCAGGUGCGAAAGCGUGGGGAGCAAACAGG
rnacentral:rRNA from 1 species